AGCGAACGCUGGCGGCAGGCCUAACACAUGCAAGUCGAACGAACUCUUCGGAGUUAGUGGCGGACGGGUGAGUAACACGUGGGAACGUGCCUUUAGGUUCGGAAUAACUCAGGGAAACUUGUGCUAAUACCGAAUGUGCCCUUCGGGGGAAAGAUUUAUCGCCUUUAGAGCGGCCCGCGUCUGAUUAGCUAGUUGGUGAGGUAAAGGCUCACCAAGGCGACGAUCAGUAGCUGGUCUGAGAGGAUGAUCAGCCACAUUGGGACUGAGACACGGCCCAAACUCCAACGGGAGGCAGCGGGGGGGAAUCUUGCGCAAUGGGAGAAAGCCUGACGCAGCCAUGCCGCGUGAAUGAUGAAGUUCUUAGGAUUGUAAAAUUCUUUCACCGGGGACGAUAAUGACGGUACCCGGAGAAGAAGCCCCGGCUAACUUCGUGCCAGCCGCCGCGGUAA
rnacentral:rRNA from 1 species